AUGUCUCUGUGGCGCAAUCGGUUAGCGCG
rnacentral:piRNA from 2 species